UUAAAAGCAAGCUUAGCUAUCCUUGAGACACAAGUUCAAGUCCCCCUUUUAGCAUUUUUAUUUAAAUUCGACACACCCCCUUGGUCAAACCCUUUUGCCGCCCAAAAAUGUUGCCACACACUCAAGAUUUUUUCCUUCCUUUUCUUCUUCCUUCCUUCCUUCCUUGUUUACUCAUCUUUUCACUCCUUUUGUUCCCUCACAUUUAUUUCUUUUCCUUUGUUUCCUUCAUUUUCUUUUCCUCCCAUUUGACUUGUUUGUGCCGCC
rnacentral:lncRNA from 1 species